GGAAACCUGAGAGACGUAAAAAGGACAGAAUUCUCUCCAGGAAACGGUGUGUGCUGUGCAGCAGACGCUGAGACCUGAAGAAUCAAGGUCCACCUGGUGGGAGAAACCUGAGUCCAGGGCAGAAGAAUCUCACUCUUUUAUUGGAUCUUCACAAUAACCUGCAUGAGGGCUCCGCAAAAGAGUCUGGGACAAAAACUCUGCCACGCAAAUGGAAGCCAACACCAUCUGGUUGACCCCAUGCAUGGAAGGGACCAGUAGGGUCCCAUGAGACCACGACUGCCCCAGGAAGGGGACAACGAGGAGGACAGCUGGCUCAGUUGACCUCCCUCCCUCUCCCCAACCCCAGGAUACCCAUCUCCCCCCAGUUUCAGAAGACAUCACCCCAAGGAAGAUGAAUUGGGCUGUUGAUUCCGAGCAGAAGGGGACUGAGAGUCGAUGCCUCUUCUGAAAGCAAGGCACUGCCUGGUGCCCGCGUCUUGGAACGUGCUGGCUUCAUCGCUCUGACAGCAUGAAAGAUGUUUGGUUUUGUUCCCAGUGCUGUUAUCAUUUAUCAUCCUCUUGUAAAAGCUGGCACCCUCCGCCUGUUCCCCCUUCCUUCUCGCCCUCUCCCACCCCUACCUCCAGUCCCACCGCCCCAUUCCACUGCUCCUCCUGCCACUGAGGGCAGUCCUCUCGUACUUACCCUGGAGGAAACUUUCCAGCAUUGGUCCUCAGAAGCUCGAGAGAUACCCCAACUGGAUUCAACUCCUAAACAUUUGCUGAGCAAUUCCUCUGGGGGAAGCAAUGUGCUUGGGGCUCUGGCUGGUUAAAUGUAAGUAAGACAAGUCCCUGACUUCAAACACCUUGUGUUCCAGCAAGAAAAUAACUGUGAAGUCCCGGGUAGCAAAACACACGCAUGUGCAGAGUGAGGGAGAAGAAGCACACGUUUAGAAAGUCUGGGAAAGGCAACACUGAUGGCCUUUCAAAGAGCAGAGGCAGCUGGAUGGAGAACGGUGGAGGACAGCAGGCAUGGAUAAAGAGUGUGGGGAAGGAGACAGGAGAACGCCAAAUAUCUUCAGAAAAAAAGUGGCUGAGAACGCAAAGAAAGAAGCGAAGUGAUAGCUGGAAGAGGAGCGAUCGUAUCGGAGCUGGUUUGAAGAUGGAGGAGGAGGAGCCAGUGGAAUGGGCAAGGUUGAAGGUACAAGGGAGAGGAAACAAUUGAUGUAGCAAAGGCCCAAAAGGGGCUGUCGAGGCAGGGUAAGACAGGGGGAAGGACCGGCUGUGGAGGGAAGUCAGGACACAUCCUGUUUCAAGAACAAAGAACAGGAAGAAAUUGGUGUGUGACCAUGGGGAAACUUGGUGAUAGAAGGAAGCUGUGUUCACUCCAUCUUCUUAGUGUAUCAAGAGAUGAGAUCAGCUGCUAAAGGAUGGAAUUGGUAUGAGACCUUACGAAUACUGGAAGUUGGAAUAUCCACUGAGGAUAAAAUAAAAAUGUAAAUUAAAAUAUAAAAUAAAAAUGCCGAGAAAUAAAAGAGCUGUCUA